rnacentral:ncRNA from 1 species
UUGGCUACGUUGAGAUGUGGUUCCCGCUCCGGCGACUCCGGACGGGAUGAAAAGGGAACGCGGUGCGUCGCGCUUGCGCGGCAAAUCCGAGGCUGCCCCCGCAACUGUAAGCGGUGAAGAUCGCCGAGAACGACCACUGGCCCGGACGGGCUGGGAAGGUUCGGCGACCUGAUGACCCGUGAGCCAGGAGACCUGCCACACCCGCUCAUACGCG